GAUUAACGCUGGCGGCGUGCAUAACACAUUCAAGUCGAACGGUGACGGGGCUUCGGCCCCUGAUCAGUGGCGGACGGGUGAGUAACGCGUGAGCAAUCUACCUUCCAGUACGGGAUAACCACCGGAAACAGCUGCUAAUACCGUAUGAAAUGGCAACAUUGCAUGGUGCAACCAUCAAAGAUUUAUUGCCGGAAGAUGAGCUGGCGUCCGAUUAGAUAGUUGGCGGGGUAACGGCCCACCAAGGCGACGAUCGGUAGCCGGACUGAGAGGUUGAACGGCCACAUUGGAACUGAGAUACGGUCCAGACUCCGACGGGAGGCAGCAGUGGGGAAUAUUGGGCAAUGGGCGAAAGCCUGACCCAGCGACGCCGCGUGAGGGAAGAAGAUCUUCGGAUUGUAAACCUUAGUCAACAGGGAAGAAGAUAGUGACGGUACCUGUGGAGGAAGCCACGGCUAACUACGUGCCAGCAGCCGCCGUAAGAC
rnacentral:rRNA from 1 species